rnacentral:rRNA from 1 species
UACGAGGGGGGCGAGCGUUGUUCGGAAUUAUUGGGCGUAAAGGGUGCGUAGGCGGUUUGAUAAGUCAUCUGUGAAAUCUCUGGGCUCAACCCAGAGUCUGCAGGCGAAACUGCCGGGCUUGAGUAUGGGAGAGGUGAGUGGAAUUCCUGGUAUAGCGGUGAAAUGCGUAGAUAUCAGGAGGAACACCUGUGGCGAAAGCGGCUCACUGGACCAUAACUGACGCUGAUGCACGAAAGCUAGGGGAGCAAACAGG